UAAAUAAUCAAGUCUUGACCAGACAAUCCAGUUAUUGACACGAGCAUUGAUCCACGCAAUUGGGAUAUGAUGACAUGAAAUCAACCAAUCAACCACCAAGUCUACUGAGUUGCCCUUUAUGAAAAGCACAGGUUGUGAUCCAGUGAUUGACAUCAUGAGCAUCGACCCAC